rnacentral:lncRNA from 1 species
GGAGGCGCAAGCAGUCAUCACAAAAAAGCGAUCUAUUGUGGGCUAGUGAAACUGAUCGUGAUGAAUGGGAAGAAGCCCAAAACCAAUUGAAGAAUUCCAUUUUUCCUGAAUCUGACCAUUUACGAUGUUGAAUGUUUAUACCCAAUGGAAGCAUAAUUGAGUUAUUCAGCAUCAUGGUGUAAGAAACAUUUCAUUAACUUAAAAGCUAUGCGCAAAAUUUGUGAAGGGAGACAACAACUUAAAGAAAUGGAUCAACAGAAAAUAAAAAUUAUACUCUGUUUUGCGGUUUGGGACAUUAUUCGUAAAUGUAAAUAUUCAGACAAUUAGUGAUUCAAAAUUAUUAUGUUUAUUAUUUUUAUAAAUUGUGCAUUGUAUUUAUUUGGGAAAUUUGUUAAUAUUCUAUAGCUUACUGAUCAAUUAUUUAAGUAUCUACUUACCAAUAAAAUGUCCCAGGAUCAUAUA